GACGGUUUAUUACAUCAACGUUUCGGUCGGAGCCCGACCUUUUUCAAGGUCGGGCUCCGACCGAUACGUUGAUGUAAUAAACCGU
rnacentral:pre_miRNA from 1 species